rnacentral:rRNA from 1 species
UACAGAGGGGGCAAGCGUUGUUCGGAAUUACUGGGCGUAAGGGCGCGUAGGCGGCCAACUAAGUCGGACGUGAAAUCCCCAGGCUCAACCUGGGAACUGCGUCCGAUACUGGAUGGCUCGAAUCCGGGAGAGGGAUGUGGAAUUCCAGGUGUAGCGGUGAAAUGCGUAGAUAUCUGGAGGAACACCGGUGGCGAAGGCGGCAUCCUGGACCGGUAUUGACGCUGAGGCGCGAAAGCCAGGGGAGCAAACGGG